GCUACGGCCGUGGCGGCGGCGUAGUGAAGACGGAGGCAGCUAUCGUUGUUCGGAUGUACGGGGCGUAAAGCGCGCUGAGGCGGCUCAUCAAGUCAGGGGUGAAAUCCCGGGGCUCAACCCCGGAACUGCCCUUGAAACUGGUAGGCUAGAAUCCUGGAGAGGCGAGUGGAAUUCCGAGUGUAGAGGUGAAAUUCGUAGAUAGUCGGAAGAACACCAGUGGCGAAGGCGACUCGCUGGACAGGUAUUGACGCUGAGGUGCGAAAGCGUGGGGAGCAAACAGGAUUAGAUACCCGAGUAGUC
rnacentral:rRNA from 1 species